rnacentral:rRNA from 1 species
UACGAAGGGGGCUAGCGUUGUUCGGAUUUACUGGGCGUAAAGGGUGCGUAGGCGGAUUGUUAAGUCAGGGGUGAAAUCCCGAGGCUCAACCUCGGAACUGCCUUUGAUACUGGCGAUCUUGAGUCCGGGAGAGGUGAGUGGAACUGCGAGUGUAGAGGUGAAAUUCGUAGAUAUUCGCAAGAACACCGGUGGCGAAGGCGGCUCACUGGCCCGGAACUGACGCUGAGGCACGAAAGCGUGGGGAGCAAACAGG